rnacentral:rRNA from 1 species
UACAGAGGUCCCGAGCGUUGUUCGGAUUCAUUGGGCGUAAAGGGUGCGUAGGCGGCGGAGCAAGUCUGAUGUGAAAUCCCGGGGCUCAACCCCGGAACUGCAUUGGAUACUGCUUUGCUAGAGUACUGGAGAGGGAACUGGAAUUUACGGUGUAGCAGUGAAAUGCGUAGAGAUCGUAAGGAAGGCCAGUGGCGAAGGCGGCUCACUGGUCCAUUACUGACGCUGAGGUGCGAAAGCGUGGGGAGCAAACAGG